rnacentral:rRNA from 1 species
UACGAAGGGGGCUAGCGUUGCUCGGAAUCACUGGGCGUAAAGAGCGCGCAGGCGGUCGUUCAAGUCGCGUGUGAAAGCCCCCGGCUCAACUGGGGAGGGUCACGCGAUACUGAUCGACUCGAAGGCAGGAGAGGGUAGUGGAAUUCCCGGUGUAGUGGUGAAAUGCGUAGAUAUCGGGAGGAACACCAGUGGCGAAGGCGACUACCUGGCCUGUUCUUGACGCUGAGGCGCGAAAGCUAGGGGAGCAAACGGGG